GCCGCUCUCCCCGCUCGGCCCCAGCGCGGGCGGGCCCGGCCGCAGGGCGCAGGCGCAGCGCUCCGGCCGCGCUCGGAGUCACAGCUAUGAGGGGUUUUUAAGGGUAUAAAAUGUGUCUCCCAGCGCUCUCUCGUAAGGGCUGCAGCGCUGACCUUUAAAUGCAUCAAAUAUCGUCUUUGAGUUCACACCGAGCCUUUGCCGCUCUCGGAAAUAACAGAGCGGGUGGCUCUGUGCAGGCCCAGACAACUCUAGGAAUGGAGAAGAAAAAAACCCAAACAAUUUUCAAAAUACUUUUGAUAGCUGAUGUGUCCCUAGUUUGUACCUAGAGGAGGUUGUGGUGAUACAGUUCGGGAGAUCAAUGGUGCUCGUUGGUGCUGAGGAUCUUAACGCUUGGAAAGAAGUUCCCUGCAGGUACUGGAAGACUGCAAUUAUGACACCCCAAAGCCUUCUCUUCUCCGGGCUGAACAAUCCCAAUCAUCUCAGCCUUUCCUUGUAGGGAGGGCACUCCAUCUCUUCAUCUAUUAUAUUCCAGCACUCUGGAAAAAGAAUGAUUUCCCAGGAGAAAAUGAAGAGACAUGUAGGAGACAAAUGUGUACGUUGCAAUUGUUAUUGUAGAAAAAUAUUAUAAAAUAAAAAUCAGU